rnacentral:rRNA from 1 species
AGGGAAUCUUCCGCAAUAGACGAAAGUCUGACGGAGCAACGCCGCGUGAGUGAAGAAGGCCUUCGGGUCGUAAAGCUCUGUUGCCGGGGAAGAACAAGUGCCGUUCGAACAGGGCGGUGCCUUGACGGUACCCGGCCAGAAAGCCACGGCUAACUACGUGCCAGCAGCCGCGGUAAUACGUAGGUGGCAAGCGUUGUCCGGAAUUAUUGGGCGUAAAGCGCGCGCAGGCAGCUUCUUGAGUCUGAUGUGAAAUCUUGCGGCUCAACCGCAAGCGGUCAUUGGAAACUGGGAGGCUUGAGUGCAGAAGAGGAGAGUGGAAUUCCACGUGUAGCGGUGAAAUGCGUAGAGAUGUGGAGGAACACCAGUGGCGAAGGCGGCUCUCUGGUCUGUAACUGACGCUGAGGCGCGAAAGCGUGGGGAGCAAAC